rnacentral:rRNA from 3 species
UGGGGAAUAUUGCACAAUGGGGGAAACCCUGAUGCAGCGACGCCGCGUGAACGAAGAAGGUAUUCGUAUCGUAAAGUUCUGUCCUAUGGGAAGAUAAUGACAGUACCAUAGAAGAAAGCUUCGGCUAAAUACGUGCCAGCAGCCGCGGUAAUACGUAUGGAGCGAGCGUUGUCCGGAAUUAUUGGGCGUAAAGGGUACGCAGGCGGUUUAAUAAGUCGAAUGUUAAAGAUCGGGGCUCAACCCCGUAAAGCAUUGGAAACUGAUAAACUUGAGUAGUGGAGAGGAAAGUGGAAUUCCUAGUGUAGUGGUGAAAUACGUAGAUAUUAGGAGGAAUACCAGUAGCGAAGGCGACUUUCUGGACACAAACUGACGCUGAGGUACGAAAGCGUGGGGAGCAAACAGG